rnacentral:snoRNA from 1 species
CUGCGAAUAUUCUCACUGUUCUGAUUUUGUAGUAAUCAAGACAGGCUAAACAUUUGCUAUAAUAAGAUCAUGCAUGUGUCCCCAGGCCUGGUUCUUUACCUACCUAAGUCUGGUCUUAGAAAUUCUGGUGAUAAAU